rnacentral:rRNA from 1 species
GACGUAGGGCGCGAGCGUUGUCCGGAUUUAUUGGGCGUAAAGAGCUCGUAGGCGGCUUGUUGCGUCGGCUGUGAAAACCCAUGGCUCAACCGUGGGCUUGCAGCCGAUACGGGCAGGCUAGAGUUCGGUAGGGGAGACUGAAAUUCCUGGUGUAGCGGUGAAAUGCGCAGAUAUCAGGAGGAACACCGGUGGCGAAGGCGGGUCUCUGGAACGGUACUGACGCUGAGGCGCGAAAGCGUGGGGAGCGAACAGG